GACGAACGCUGGCGGCGCGCCUAACACAUGCAAGUCGAACGGUGAUGAGGAGCUUGCUCCUCGGAACAGUGGCGGACGGGUGAGUAACACGUGAGCAACCUGGCUCUAAGAGGGGGACAACAGUUGGAAACGACUGCUAAUACCGCAUGACGUAUCGGGAUGGCAUCUUCCUGAUACCAAAGAUUUUAUCGCUUAGAGAUGGGCUCGCGUCUGAUUAGAUAGUUGGCGGGGUAACGGCCCACCAAGUCGACGAUCAGUAGCCGGACUGAGAGGUUGAACGGCCACAUUGGGACUGAGACACGGCCCAGACUCCUACGGGAGGCAGCAGUGGGGGAUAUUGGACAAUGGGGGCAACCCUGAUCCAGCGACGCCGCGUGAGGGAAGAAGGUUUUCGGAUUGUAAACCUCUGUUGACGGAGAAAAAAAUGAUGGUAUCCGUUUAGAAAGCCACGGCUAACUACGUG
rnacentral:rRNA from 1 species